rnacentral:antisense_RNA from 1 species
AUAAACCACCGAAAUACAUAGCUUUGGCCAACAAGAAGGUAGCGACACCCAGCAAAACUAGGCGGAUGCCCAAGAUGGUGGUCAUUGUGUCUGCGUCUUCCCA